rnacentral:rRNA from 1 species
UUUGUCUCAUAGUAAUAUUUUGAAAUUAAUUUUUUAGUUAAAAAGCUAAAAUUAAUUUUAAAGACAAGAAGACCCUAUUAAGCUUUACAAUUUUAUAUUAUUUUCAAACUAAUAAAACAAUUGUUCUGCUGGGGCAGCAAAUAAAUAAAUAUUAUUUAUAUAUUGUGAUAAAUAAAUCUAGAAAAAUCAAUAAUUUAUUAAAUAACAACAAGUUACUAUAGGGAUAACAGCAUAAUUUUUUUAAAGAGUUCUCAUCAACAAAAAAGUUUGUGACCUCGAUGUUGGAUU